CAGAACAAGCCAAUUAGUAAUCCAAAGACUCUCCUUAACCUUCCUGAGCUUGCUCAAUUCUGAAGUUUCUGCUUCGGCAAAGCCUAGUUAAGAGCCAUCUAACAGACAAAGGGGGUCUUUGUUUCCCAUAUUGACAAGCUGUGAAUGAGCUUAAUUUCGUUUCAGAACAAGGUUGGAAUUUUGCUGAUCAAGAUAAAUCUUCCUUUUUGUUGACAGAAGAUAGAGAGCACAACUGAGCAUAUACCCAGGGAAUUGUUCGUGUAUGAGCAGUUUUGUGCUCUUUAUUCUUCUGCCAACACAAUCUUCUGCCACUCUAUACUAGUACGUUUCUUCGGAUCAAGGUUCUGCGAAAAGACGGCAUUUUUCUUUCUCCAAGCAUGUUGACGAUGAUGGUCUCGAAACUAAUUAUCUUUGAUCCUAAGAUUCCAAAUGGUAAAAGAAACAGAGAAAACCAUUUUCUUAGAAAAAAAAAAAUGGUUAAUCACUAAUAGUGUGAAAAAAGUUGUAUAUAGAUGACACCAAAAGAUAUGAAAGUGAUUUGGUAGCGGUUAAAAUAUUCCAUCACAGGCCUUAAUAGCCACUCAUGCACAACGUGGGAGAAGUGCUACUGUGUCCUUUCUCUCGUAAUACCAAAUUAUAGAACAUCUGGUACUAUUCGAAUAGUAGUACAAACAAAAGAACGACCUAAGAUUCAAUGAAUGUGAUUAUGUCCUAUUGCCUAUCGUUUAAUACGAUCUUUAUUAUGAAACAUCUUUCGCUUGGAUUUUUCUUAUGAAUUUAUAAACCAAGAAUCAUGAUUCUUCCCAUUUCUCUAUUUUUAUUAAUGCCCUUUCCAACACGAAGCAAGACACCCAAAUUCUUGGGAUUGUGGUGUGGGACGUAUCAGAACUCUGUACACCUAAGUACCGGAUUAU